rnacentral:rRNA from 1 species
GACGAACGCUGGCGGCGUGCCUAAUACAUGCAAGUAGAACGCACAGUUUAUACCGUAGCUUGCUCCACCAUAAACUGUGAGUUGCGAACGGGUGAGUAACGCGUAGGUAACCUGCCUGGUAGCGGGGGAUAACUAUUGGAAACGAUAGCUAAUACCGCAUAAUAUUGAUUAUUGCAUGAUAAUUGAUUGAAAGAUGCUAUUGCAUCACUACCAGAUGGACCUGCGUUGUAUUAGCUAGUAGGUGAGGUAACGGCUCACCUAGGCGACGAUACAUAGCCGACCUGAGAGGGUGAUCGGACACACUGGGACUGAGACACGGCCCAGACUCCUACGGGAGGCAGCAGUAGGGAAUCUUCGGCAAUGGACGAAAGUCUGACCGAGCAACGCCGCGUGAGUGAAGAAGGUUUUCGGAUCGUAAAGCUCUGUUGUAAGAGAAGAACGGGUGUGAGAGUGGAAAGUUCACACUGUGACGGUAUCUUACCAGAAAGGGACGGCUAACUACGUG